rnacentral:rRNA from 1 species
UACGGAGGGUGCAAGCAUUAAUCGGAUUUAUUGGGCGUAAAGGGCGCGUAGGCGGCUUUUUAAGUCAGAUGUGAAAUUCCAGGGCUCAACCCUGGACCUGCAUUUGAAACUGAGAAGCUCGAGGAUAGGCGGAGAAAACGGAAUUCCACAAGUAGCGGUGAAAUGCGUAGAUAUGUGGAAGAACACCAGUGGCGAAGGCGGUUUUCUAGCUUAUUCCUGACGCUGAUGCGCGAAAGCAAGGGGAUCAAACAGG